UGUUCCAUAGCUCAGUUGGUAGAGCGACGGACUGUUAAUCCGUUGGUCCCUGGUUCGAGUCCAGGUGGAACAG
rnacentral:tRNA from 1 species